ACCCACACACGCGCGGAACGAACUGAUUUGCUUGUGCAACGACUCGGGGAAUCGAAUUAUUUUUCCAGUGUCGGACUUUUCAAGGCUCCUGAUGGACGCCAGAGGGUUGCGUGAAACCCCAAGCACCUUGCGCGCCUGCGCCCAUGGGCACGCGGUAUGAUUUUUGAGGAAAUAGCGUUUAGAUCCUACAAGUUCCAAGAGAAGACUUCCCGCGGUGACGGAAUGUCGGGUGUGCUCUGUGCAACUGGUGUACUCGGUUGACAAGGUGGCUAGACGAGCAGGAAGUGAGGCAUACGAACCAGCGAAACCAGAAGAGGGAUGUUAACUGGAGAGGUGGCGGCUUUGCGGUUAGGGACCUGCAUGCAAUUGAACUAACCCAGAAAAGUCAGCAGUCGGGUCUGCGACUCCCUGCCUUCCGAUGGAACACACCCCCCACCCCACCCCGCGCGCGCGCCCCCAGAGUGGCAGGCAGCUGUUCCUGACCCAGGAAGCUUGGAUUAUUCCACCUUGUUUUCUACUGCCUGGGUGCCUGAUUAUCCCAAGCCCUGAGCCACAUCUGUGCCUCCUGGAGGCUACUGGGGAAUCGGUCCCUCUGCUCACUACCCAGGAGCCAGCAGGGCUGUCUCUAGUUCGAGAAUCCUAACAGUGUCCUGCCAUACCCUGCUUCAGAGAGAAGACUGUCCUCCCUGGAAGCUAGUGAACAUCUUUGUUGGGCAUGUGUCUCUGUACGCUGCUGCAAUAUGUACACACGCAUCUGGAAGAUAUAGUCAGACAUUCACUGGCUGUCUUUUCCAACCACACCCCACCUCAAUUCUCAGACAAUCUCUCACUGAACCUGAAACUUAGUGAUUCACCUCGAUGGGCUGGCCAGCAAGCCCUCAAGUCCCUUAUCUCUACCCUGCCUCCACAGGGAUUCCAGAUGUGGGCUGCCACACCAGUGUUUCCCGAAGGUGCCUGGAAUCCAGCUCACAUCCUCGGGCUUGCAGAGCAAGCAAUCUGACUGAAGUAUCUCCCCUUCCUUCUUGUCUUUGAGACAAGAUCUCAUAUAGCCCAGACUGGCCUAUAACUCAGUAUGUAGCUGAGGGUGACUUUAAACUGUUAAUCUUCCUGCCUCCAUCUCCUGAGUGUGGGGAAUACAAAGAUACAUGACCAGGUCUGGCGUCGUGCCCACCGCCGGGCUCUGCAUGCUAGGCAAGCUCCCUGCCGAUUGAGUCACAUCCUCAGCCCCUUCCCUACCUUUUGUUGGUGGUGGUUUUGGUUUUUUAAGACAGGGUUUCUCUGUGUGGGCCUGGCUGUCCUGGAACUCACUCUGUAGACCAGGCUGACCUCAAACUCACAGAAAUCUGCCUGCCUCUGCCUCCUUAGUGUUGGGGUGUCACCAUCACCCAGCCCUUCCCUACAUUUUUAGCAAACUUGAACAUGACUUUCAGCCCUAGACCAGGGUCUCCCAUGACUCUUAACUAGUUUGCAUUUCUUUCUCCUUAAGCAAAAUAGGUCUAAAAUGUAUAUUCCAAACCUGCGUACUCAGUCCCAUGACAGGAACAUUGUCAGCUGGUCAUCUAACCAACUGAGGUAACAGUUCGAGGCCAGCCAAAGCUAUGAGAGCCCACUGGAAAACAAACAAAAGAGGUUUGGGAGACAGCUGGCUUGGUAAAGUGCUUCCCACAGAACGAACGAACGAACGAACGAACGAACGAACGAACGAACGAACGAACGAACGAACGAACGAACGAACGAACGAACGAACGAGGACUGAGUGCGAGCCAGACACAGGAGCACCUACCAUCAUCCCAGUAUCGGGGAAGCAGACGAGAGGAUCCCUGGGGCUUGCCGGCCACCAGGCUAGCUCAGUGAGUGAGGUCCAGGCUGUUGACAAAUGUUUACAGGUUGCAUGCCUUUAAUCCAGCUAAUGUGAGCCAAUCAAGAAAACCCCUCACAGUGUCCCCAGCUAUUUCGUUUAAGACACAGUCAAACUGGCAAUCAAGAUGAGCCAAUACAAGUCCGCCCCUUGUCAGCUUGACACCUAACUGUACCAGGCUUCCUUUUAGGCCACCAACCAGCUCCCAAAUCAUGACAUGGAGACUUGUUCUUAGUUAUAAACGCUCAGCCUUAUUUUAGCUCUUAUUUGAAUCUGUUUCUCUUUAUCUGCGUUCUGCCUCGGGCCUUUUUACCUUUCUUUCUGUGUGUCCUACACUGUGUCUGUUAGCUGGCCCCAGGUGUCUCCCUCCCUUCCUCCCUCAUUCUCUCCUCUCUUGUUCUACUUGAGCCUCGAUUCUCCUCCUAUUUAUCCUCUCUGCUGGUCAGCUCCACCUAUCCCUCUUAUGCUGAACUAUUGGCCAUUCAGCUUUUUAUUAGACCAAUCAGGUGCCUUAGGCAAGCAAGGUGAACCCACAACACAUCUUUUCAUAAUUCAACAAAGGCAGCAGAAACAAAUGUAACACAUCUUUGCAUAGUUAAAUAGUCCACAACACAUAACCACAUCUCUUUUUUUGUUGCUGUUUUUUUUAUUUUCGAUUUUUCCCCACAGACAAGGUUUCUCUGUGUUGCCCUGGCUGACCUGGAACUCACCCUGUAGCCCAGGCUGGCCUCAAACUCAGAGAUCUGCCUGCCUCUGCCUCCCGAGUGCUGGGAUUAAAGACAUGCACCCCCACCACCUGGCAAGAUUUUAUUUUUGAUUAAAUGUAUCUGUGUAUGCACAUGUGCUGGCAAAGGGCAGACAAGUUAGAUCCCUCUGGAGCUGGAGUUACAGGUGGUGUGAGCCUUUUGACAUGGGAGCUAAGAGCUUUGUUCGAAUCCUCUGCAAGCGCGUCUCCAGCCUGUGGAGCUCAGCUUUUUACAUGUGUGCUGACAACCAAACUCAAGUCUUCAUGGGCUACAUAGGGAGACUCUACCUCAAAUUUUUUCUUUUUAUUUAUUUUUAUUUUAUGCACAUUACUGUUUUUGCCAUA